UUUACAAGGGAAGGGCCAUAUUGCAAGAGAAACAAAACACACGUUCUCUACAGGCUGCUCUCACGCGAGGGGACGGAACUGCCCAAUACAAACGCAGGAAGACCAAGAGACUCCAGUGACCAUCAUGGUAGGGAAACGCAGGAAGACAAGAGACUCCAGCGACCGUCACGGCAUCUUUCAAGCUUGGGAUUAGAGGAACUUUAUUAUUUGCCUAACACGUACGGAUAAUUAAAGGCAAUGGC